UCUAGUGUAGCUCAGUGGUAGGGCACUUGCCUACCAUACGCAGGGCCCUGGGUUCAAUCCCCAGUACUACAC
rnacentral:tRNA from 1 species